rnacentral:piRNA from 1 species
CCUAUUAUUGUGGAGAUUCGGAAGAC